rfam:Thelohanellus kitauei scaffold03799, whole genome shotgun sequence.
UCCCAGUUAGUAUAGUGGUGAGUAUCCCCGCCUGUCACGCGGGAGACCGGGGUUCGAACCCCCGACUGGGCG